rnacentral:tRNA from 1 species
GCGCUCGUGGCCGAACAGCGAGGCACCUGAUUGCAACCCAGGUCGAACCCGGUGCGACUCCGGGCGAGCGCU